rnacentral:rRNA from 1 species
UACAGAGGUCUCAAGCGUUGUUCGGAUUCAUUGGGCGUAAAGGGUGCGUAGGCGGCGCGGUAAGUCGGGUGUGAAAUCUCGGGGCUUAACUCCGAAACUGCAUUCGAUACUGCCGUGCUUGAGGACUGGAGAGGAGACUGGAAUUUACGGUGUAGCGGUGAAAUGCGUAGAUAUCGUAAGGAAGACCAGUGGCGAAGGCGGGUCUCUGGACAGUUCCUGACACUGAGGCACGAAGGCCCAGGGGGAGCAAAACGGGGAUUAGAAAACCCC